AAAGCCCAGAUAACUACAGAUAUUAUUUAUAAUUCUAUAUCAACUAUCUGUUACACUUUUAAAACACAAAAUCAAAUGCUUGGGCUAUAUAUGAUGGGGAAGUUUUUAUUGUGUAUAUAAAAUAAUGCAUGUAUUAUAAAUUGUUUGUGCAGGUGAUUAAUAUUUAUGUUAUGGCUGCCAUCCAAAAUAGUCUAAACAUGUAAUGAUAGGUACAGUUAAAUCAGAAAACCUGGCUGUAGAGAUGGCUCAGCUGUUGAGCAUUUGCUACUCUUGCAGAGGACCCAGGUUCUAAUCUCAGCAGACAUAGUAGCUCACAACUGUCCAGAGCCACUGGCAUCUGAUAACCCCUUUUGGCCUCCACAGGCACCAGGAGUAGGCAUAGCACACAUACACACUUGCAAGCAAAUACUCAUACAGGUAAAAAUAAAAUUUAAAAAUCAGAAAACAGAAGAUCAUUGAUUUCAUGUUGUGCUAAGCUAAAACAUACUAUGUAGCACCAAAGAGUAGUGAGAAAGCCCUUGUAGAAAUCCACUAUGAUCUAACUCAUAUGAAAUGGAAAAUAAAGAGUGAUUAACAGAUAA
rnacentral:lncRNA from 1 species